UACAGAGGGGGCAAGCGUUGUUCGGAAUUACUGGGCGUAAAGGGCGCGUAGGCGGCCCGCUAAGUCGAACGUGAAAUCCCCGAGCUCAACUCGGGAACUGCGUCCGAUACUGGCGGGCUUGAAUCCGGGAGAGGGAUGCGGAAUUCCAGGUGUAGCGGUGAAAUGCGUAGAUAUCAGGAGGAACGCCGGAGGCGAAAGCGAGUGACUGGCGCGUUCCUGACGCUGAGGUGCGAAAGCUAGGGGAGCAAACAGG
rnacentral:rRNA from 1 species